rnacentral:lncRNA from 1 species
UCAAACUUCAACGAAGUCCACGGAAACCUAACUAAAAAGUCCAUAGUGAUACCCUCCCAUUUCCACUUAGGUAUAAUCAUAUGCCGAAGUAAUCUACCUAGCCCCUGGUGCUCAUACUUAACCUGCCGGCAUAUUAAGAACCUAGCCACACACUCAACUAUUUAUUUCUUCAUCCGCCACCACCAAUAAUGCUUCCUCUGGUCACGAUACAUUGUAGUAGCACCUGGAUGAAUAGAAUACCGAGAACUUUGUGCCUCCUCUAGAAUCUUUUCCCUCAAGCCAUCGACAUUAGGUACACAAAGAUGACCCUGGAGUCGCAGGACACCAUCCUCACCAAUGGAAACCUCCUUUGUACUACCCUGCAGUACCGCUUUUCUAUGAACUACCAAGUGGGGAUCAUCAACCUACUGAGCCUUAAUCUUCCCCAAUAGUGAAUACUGGGCAACAAAACAUGCAACAACUUGGUUGGGCUCUGAAGUAUCCAACCUCACAAGUCUGUUAGCCGAGGACUGAAUGUCACAAGCUAGUGUCCUCUCCACUACUGAAAUGAAUUCCGAGCCACCUAUGCUCAUG